AGCCGAUGAAAGACGUGAUAAGCUGCGAAAAGCUUCGGGGAGGAGCAAAUAUCCUGAGAUCCGGAGAUAUCUGAAUGGGGAAACCUACUUGAGAAGACCUCAAGUAUCCACAGCCCAAUCCAUAAGCUGUGGAAGGGAACCCGGUGAACUGAAACAUCUAAGUAGCCGGAGGAAGAGAAAACAACAUGUGAUUCCGUAAGUAGCGGCGAGCGAACGCGGAAGAGCCCAAACCGGAGUGCGUGCACUCCGGGGUUCGGACUGCAGGAUUGACGAGUGAGCCUAGUAGAAUGGUUUUGGGAAAGCCAGCCAGAGAGGGUGAAAGCCCCGUACACGAAAGGCAAGCGAGCAUGGCAGGAUCCAGAGUACCACGAGACACGUGAAACCUUGUGGGAAUGAGCGGGGACCACCCCGUAAGGCUAAAUACUCCUUAGUGACCGAUAGCGCAUAGUACUGUGAAGGAAAGGUGAAAAGGACCCCGGGAGGGGAGUGAAAGAGAACCUGAAACCAUAUGUUUACAAGCUGUGGAACAUCUUUAUAUGAUGAACCGCGUACUUUUUGUAGAACGGUCCGGCGAGUUACGCUGGCUGGCGAGGUUAAGGGCUGAAGGCCUGGAGCCGAAGGGAAACCGAGUCUGAACAGGGCGAAAUAGUCAGUCGGAGUAGACCCGAAACCGGGUGAUCUAUCCAUGUCCAGGUUGAAGUUGCCGUAAAAGGCAAUGGAGGACCGAACCCACAUCCGUUGAAAAGGGUGGGGAUGAGGUGUGGAUAGGGGAGAAAUUCCAAUCGAACCCGGAGAUAGCUGGUUCUCCUCGAAAUAGCUUUAGGGCUAGCCUCAUGCAAGUCUUACGGAGGUAGAGCACUGAAUUCCUAAGGGGGCGUCAAAGCUUACCAAGGGAUAUCAAACUCCGAAUGCCGUGUAGAUGGUGCAUGGGAGUCAGACUAUCCGAGAUAAGUUGGGUAGUCAAAAGGGAAAGAGCCCAGACCUACAGCUAAGGUCCCAAAAUGUGUGUUAAGUGGAAAAGGAUGUGGGAUUUCGAAGACAACUAGGAUGUUGGCUUAGAAGCAGCCAUCCAUUAAAAGAGUGCGUAAUAGCUCACUAGUCGAGAGGUCCUGCGCCGAAAAUGUCCGGGGCUGAAACACACUACCGAAGCUUGGGAAUUGACGAAUGUUAAUUGGUAGAGGAGCAUUCUUAACGGGGCGAAGCUGUACCGGAAGGAGCAGUGGACUGUUAAGAAGAGAGAAUGCCGGAAUGAGUAGCGAGAGGAAGGUGAGAAUCCUUCCGGCCGAAUAUCUAAGGUUUCCAGAGUAAAGCUGAUCUGCUCUGGGUAAGUCGGGGCCUAAGGCGAGGUCGAAAGACGUAGUCGAUGGAUAACAGGUAAAGAUUCCUGUACUAUAUCAUAACAGAACUGUGGGGACGCAGACAGAGAGCAUAAGCCGGGAAUGGAAAGACCGGUACAAGCGAGGUAGGAGUGCAUCAGGCAAAUCCGGUGCACAAUCUGAAGACGUGAUGUGGGGCGUAAAGCCGGAAGUAUGUGAGCUGGCUGCCAAGAAAAGCCGCUAUUGUUUAUGAUAUACCCGUACCGUAAACCGACACAGGUGGAUGAGGAGAGAAUCCUAAGGCCGACGGGAGAAGCAUUGUUAAGGAACUCGGCAAAAUGACUCCGUAACUUCGGGAGAAGGAGUGCCAUGUAAAAGUGGCCGCAGAGAAUUGGCCCAAGCAACUGUUUAGCAAAAACACAGGUCUAUGCAAAACCGAAAGGUGAGGUAUAUGGGCUGACGCCUGCCCGGUGCUGGAAGGUUAAGGGGAGAGGUUAGCCGUAAGGCGAAGCUUUGAACUUAAGCCCCAGUAAACGGCGGCCGUAACUAUAACGGUCCUAAGGUAGCGAAAUUCCUUGUCGGGUAAGUUCCGACCCGCACGAAAGGCGUAAUGAUUUGGGCACUGUCUCAACAAUGCACCCGGUGAAAUUGAAAUACCAGUGAAGAUGCUGGUUACCUGCGCCAGGACGGAAAGACCCCAUGGAGCUUUACUCCAGCUUGAUACUGGGAUUCGAUAUUGCAUGUACAGGAUAGGUGGGAGACUGAGAACUGAUGACGCCAGUUGUCAGGGAGUCACUGUUGGGAUACCACCCUUGUAGUAUUGGAUUUCUAACCAGCAGCCGUGAACCGGCUGGGGGACAAUGUCAGGUGGGGAGUUUGACUGGGGCGGUCGCCUCCGAAAGGGUAUCGGAGGCGCUCAAAGGU
rnacentral:rRNA from 1 species